rnacentral:rRNA from 1 species
UACGUAGGGCGCAAGCGUUUAUCCGGAAUUAUUGGGCGUAAAGAGCUCGUAGGCGGUUGUCGCGUCUGCCGUGAAAGUCCGGGCUCAACUCCGGAUCUGCGGUGGGUACGGGCAGACUAGAGUGAUGUAGGGGAGACUGGAAUUCCUGGUGUAGCGGUGAAAUGCGCAGAUAUCAGGAGGAACACCGGUGGCGAAGGCGGGUCUCUGGGCCGUAACUGACGCUGAGGAGCGAAAGCGUGGGGAGCGAACAGG